CUGAGGUUUUUUAUUUUGCCGGUUGCAAUGAACUGUGUCUCGAUGGAGACGGUACAACAUUAGACUGUCAGUAUGGCUGCUGUGGUGAGAAACUAGAUAGAUACUGCUGUACCUUUAAUCUCUGGGUCAUAAUUUUGUUUAUUAUUGCCGGUGCUGCUGUUUUGAUUCCUGCCGCCUUCAUUUUGUAUUGCCUGAUAAGAGAUAAACUAUGUCCCAGUAAGCCGCUAUUCCAGACAAAUGCUCUGCGCCGAAGACAAACCGUACAACUAAGGGCAAUAAAUAAUGUGCAGCGUUCAACGAGUGCUUCUGCUUGCCCUUCGUCAACAUAUGGCGGGGCAAAUCCUGCUUAUAUUCAUCCGCAUUCAAGUACAGCGAUGUCAUAAGAGUUUUGGCAAUAAAAUUUCAUUAUAC